rnacentral:rRNA from 1 species
AGGGCGCACGGUGGAUGCCUUGGCACUAGAAGCCGAUGAAGGACGUUACUAACGACGAUAUGCUUUGGGGAGCUGUAAGUAAGCUUUGAUCCAGAGAUUUCCGAAUGGGGAAACCCAGCAUGAGUUAUGUCAUGUUAUCGAUAUGUGAAUACAUAGCAUAUCAGAAGGCACACCCGGAGAACUGAAACAUCUUAGUACCCGGAGGAAGAGAAAGAAAAUUCGAUUCCCUUAGUAGCGGCGAGCGAAACGGGAAGAGCCCAAACCAACAAGCUUGCUUGUUGGGGUUGUAGGACACUCUAUACGGAGUUACAAAGGACGACAUUAGACGAAUCAUCUGGAAAGAUGAAUCAAAGAAGGUAAUAAUCCUGUAGUCGAAAAUGUUGUCUCUCUUGAGUGGAUCCUGAGUACGACGGAGCACGUGAAAUUCCGUCGGAAUCUGGGAGGACCAUCUCCUAAGGCUAAAUACUCUCUAGUGACCGAUAGUGAACCAGUACCGUGAGGGAAAGGUGAAAAGCACCCCGGAAGGGGAGUGAAAUAGAACCUGAAACCGUGUGCUUACAAGUAGUCAGAGCCCGUUAAUGGGUGAUGGCGUGCCUUUUGUAGAAUGAACCGGCGAGUUACGAUUUGAUGCAAGGUUAAGCAGUAAAUGUGGAGCCGUAGCGAAAGCGAGUCUGAAUAGGGCGUUUAGUAUUUGGUCGUAGACCCGAAACCAGGUGAUCUACCCUUGGUCAGGUUGAAGUUCAGGUAACACUGAAUGGAGGACCGAACCGACUUACGUUGAAAAGUGAGCGGAUGAACUGAGGGUAGCGGAGAAAUUCCAAUCGAACCUGGAGAUAGCUGGUUCUCUCCGAAAUAGCUUUAGGGCUAGCCUCAAGUGAUGAUUAUUGGAGGUAGAGCACUGUUUGGACGAGGGGCCCCUCUCGGGUUACCGAAUUCAGACAAACUCCGAAUGCCAAUUAAUUUAACUUGGGAGUCAGAACAUGGGUGAUAAGGUCCGUGUUCGAAAGGGAAACAGCCCAGACCACCAGCUAAGGUCCCAAAAUAUAUGUUAAGUGGAAAAGGAUGUGGCGUUGCCCAGACAACUAGGAUGUUGGCUUAGAAGCAGCCAUCAUUUAAAGAGUGCGUAAUAGCUCACUAGUCGAGUGACACUGCGCCGAAAAUGUACCGGGGCUAAACAUAUUACCGAAGCUGUGGAUUGUCCUUUGGACAAUGGUAGGAGAGCGUUCUAAGGGCGUUGAAGCAUGAUCGUAAGGACAUGUGGAGCGCUUAGAAGUGAGAAUGCCGGUGUGAGUAGCGAAAGACGGGUGAGAAUCCCGUCCACCGAUUGACUAAGGUUUCCAGAGGAAGGCUCGUCCGCUCUGGGUUAGUCGGGUCCUAAGCUGAGGCCGACAGGCGUAGGCGAUGGAUAACAGGUUGAUAUUCCUGUACCACCUAUAAUCGUUUUAAUCGAUGGGGGGACGCAGUAGGAUAGGCGAAGCGUGCGAUUGGAUUGCACGUCUAAGCAGUAAGGCUGAGUAUUAGGCAAAUCCGGUACUCGUUAAGGCUGAGCUGUGAUGGGGAGAAGACAUUGUGUCUUCGAGUCGUUGAUUUCACACUGCCGAGAAAAGCCUCUAGAUAGAAAAUAGGUGCCCGUACCGCAAACCGACACAGGUAGUCAAGAUGAGAAUUCUAAGGUGAGCGAGCGAACUCUCGUUAAGGAACUCGGCAAAAUGACCCCGUAACUUCGGGAGAAGGGGUGCUCUUUAGGGUUAACGCCCAGAAGAGCCGCAGUGAAUAGGCCCAAGCGACUGUUUAUCAAAAACACAGGUCUCUGCUAAACCGUAAGGUGAUGUAUAGGGGCUGACGCCUGCCCGGUGCUGGAAGGUUAAGAGGAGUGGUUAGCUUCUGCGAAGCUACGAAUCGAAGCCCCAGUAAACGGCGGCCGUAACUAUAACGGUCCUAAGGUAGCGAAAUUCCUUGUCGGGUAAGUUCCGACCCGCACGAAAGGCGUAACGAUUUGGGCACUGUCUCAACGAGAGACUCGGUGAAAUCAUAGUACCUGUGAAGAUGCAGGUUACCCGCGACAGGACGGAAAGACCCCGUGGAGCUUUACUGUAGCCUGAUAUUGAAAUUCGGCACAGCUUGUACAGGAUAGGUAGGAGCCUUUGAAACGUGAGCGCUAGCUUACGUGGAGGCGCUGGUGGGAUACUACCCUAGCUGUGUUGGCUUUCUAACCCGCACCACUUAUCGUGGUGGGAGACAGUGUCAGGCGGGCAGUUUGACUGGGGCGGUCGCCUCCUAAAAGGUAACGGAGGCGCUCAAAGGUUCCCUCAGAAUGGUUGGAAAUCAUUCAUAGAGUGUAAAGGCAUAAGGGAGCUUGACUGCGAGACCUACAAGUCGAGCAGGGUCGAAAGACGGACUUAGUGAUCCGGUGGUUCCGCAUGGAAGGGCCAUCGCUCAACGGAUAAAAGCUACCCCGGGGAUAACAGGCUUAUCUCCCCCAAGAGUUCACAUCGACGGGGAGGUUUGGCACCUCGAUGUCGGCUCAUCGCAUCCUGGGGCUGUAGUCGGUCCCAAGGGUUGGGCUGUUCGCCCAUUAAAGCGGUACGCGAGCUGGGUUCAGAACGUCGUGAGACAGUUCGGUCCCUAUCCGUCGUGGGCGUAGGAAAUUUGAGAGGAGCUGUCCUUAGUACGAGAGGACCGGGAUGGACAUACCUCUGGUGUACCAGUUGUCGUGCCAACGGCAUAGCUGGGUAGCUAUGUGUGGACGGGAUAAGUGCUGAAAGCAUCUAAGCAUGAAGCCCCCC